rnacentral:rRNA from 1 species
GGGGAAUAUUGGACAAUGGGCGCAAGCCUGAUCCAGCAAUGCCGCGUGUGUGAAGAAGGCCUGCGGGUUGUAAAGCACUUUCAGUGGGGAGGAAGGCCUCGGCGUUAAUAUCGUCGAGGAUUGACGUUACCUACAGAAGAAGCACCGGCUAACUCUGUGCCAGCAGCCGCGGUAAUACAGAGGGUGCAAGCGUUAAUCGGAAUUACUGGGCGUAAAGGGCGCGUAGGUGGUUAAUUAAGUCAGAUGUGAAAUCCCCGGGCUUAACCUGGGAAUUGCAUUUGAAACUGAUUGGUUAGAGUACGGGGGAGGGAAGUGGAAUUUCCGGUGUAGCGGUGAAAUGCGUAGAUAGCGGAAGGAACACCAGUGGCGAAGGCGACUUCCUGGCCCGUUACUGACACUGAGGCGCGAAAGCGUGGGGAGCGAACA